AAAAAUAAGUUAGAUUUCAGUCUUUAAGAACCACCAAAAAAAAUUAGAAAACACUAAGAAUACUCCGUUAAAUGAGCGGUCGAAAACUCUCAAAUAGCUAUUGACUUAAGCAGAAAAAGAUUAUCAAACAUACAUAAAUACUAUUUUCAAACAUAAAAAGUUAUGUGACAAAUGUUCUAUUUGAAUUUGAAAAAAAAAGCAACAAAAUAAUCUCAAUUUAGUAUUAAAGGGUGAUAU
rnacentral:lncRNA from 1 species